GCGCCUUUAGCUCAGCUGGUAGAGCGUCGGUUUCCAAAAUCAAAUGUCGAGGGUUCGACUCCUUCAAGGCGCG
rnacentral:tRNA from 1 species